rnacentral:rRNA from 1 species
AAUGAUGAAUGUCAUAGAUUAGACAUAGAAUAGUUUAUUCUAUAAAUGAAAGUGUAAGCAUUCCACCUCAAGAGUAAUUUGGCAACAUUGGAACUGAAAUCAUUAGACCGUUUCUGAAACCAGUAGUGAAGUAUGUUGUUUAAUUUGAUAAUCCGCAAAAAACCUUACCACAAUUUGAAUAUUUAUAUUAUUUUCUUAUCUAUUUAAUGAAAGGAAUAAAUAUAUUUACAAGCGUUGCACGGCUGUCUUCAGUUAAUGUCGUGAGACUUUGGUUAGUUCCAUUAAAUUAACGUAAACCCUCACUUUAUUUUUAUAUAAAGUUGUUCCCCACUAAAUUGGAUAAGAUAACAGGGACUAAGACAAGUCAUCAUGGCCUGAAUAUUGU